rnacentral:lncRNA from 1 species
UCUUUCUCUCUGUACUCUCACGCCCUCUUUCUCUCUUCUCACCACAACCAUCAACUUCACUCCAUCUUGAAUCAAUCACCACAUGCAAACUAUUUUCUAUCAUCCUUGGGUUAUUAAUAGGUAAGAUUUGUUGUGUCACUCCUCACCCAAUCUUUCUCCCUCAUGCUCAAAAUCCUUUUACCUAAAUUCUCAAAGAACAGCCGCUGCAUGUUAGAGAUCUUACUUGGGUUGAGUUUAUUGUUCAGAAGCUUGAGGUAAGAAGGAAAAAGCUCACUUUCCCUUUCCAAACUGUCAAUGAGUUUUUCUUCAUUUAAUCCAAUUAUCCAAAUACCUAUUCUUCAUCUCUUACUCGAAAUUGGUCAUUUCAUGUGUUGUCUUUACCCCUUAAAGCACUCUCUGAAGUUG